rnacentral:tRNA from 1 species
GUAGGUAUAGUUUAACAUAAAACAUUAGAUUGUGAUUCUAAAAAUAGAAGUUAAAAUCCUCUUAUCUACC